GCAUGCUUCGUGUUUCUUACAAAUGCUGGGUUUGUGGCGACCCUGUGCCGAGCAGGCCCAUCGGCAUCCUUGUUUCCAUAGCGUUUGUUCGCUUGGUGUCUCUGUGUCACAUUUGGGUGAUUCUCGAACGGGUUCAGACCUUGCCGUUAUUCUGAUUGUUACAGUGACCUGUGGAUCAGUGACUAGGACUCGCUGAGGCUCAGGUGAUGGUUAGCAUUCUUUAGCAAUAGAGUAUUUUAAAACGAAUGCACGCACGUUGACUUUUUGGACAUGAUGCCGUUGCACACUUAGAAGCCGGCGUAGCGUGCUUAUAAAUGUUUCAGGCACUGGGAAACCAGAAAAAUCUGUCCGGCUCGCUUUAUGGAGCUACUUGAUUUAUCCUGAGAGUCUGGAGCCAAACUCGGAAUAUCGUUGCGUCUAUGCAGUAGGUCUACGCAAUAGCGAUACCUUUCGGUUUUGGCUCUUGUGGCUGAGGACGUUUGGCGGACAUUCAAGUUUUAGCUUCCUCGUGUGCCCCCCACACCCUCCAGUUCUUCCGUCCGCCGUCUUAUUUCUUGUGAAACUAUCUGCUUGCACGUGGGGGACACUCACCUGGCGAAACCUCCAGAGCGUUAACUCUUUUCCUGAGUGAGAUGACCACUGUCGGGGAGGAAGAGUUUUCCUCUGCCCUUCUACGUUCCUUGGCUGGGCUGCGGAUCAAAUUGGCAUGAGACGGGUUAAGGGGAGAAGGUCGGAGAGAAUUUGCACAGCACAGAUACCUCCUGCAUACAUGGGAGAGACCUGGGAAAAUGGGGUGACAACUCACAGUGGCCAAAGCCAUCACCUUGAAUGCCCCCUCCACGGGAGAUGUUGGGGUGGGAGGGUCAGUUGUGGGAGUUCAUCAGGAAAAGCACCGUGAAUAAGUUGAGGGUGUUGUGCAGAUUUAAAGCCAGCCUUCUCCACUGACGAGUUUCUAGGGAAUUGAGUCACUCCCCUGUUCCUGGUGAUGAGGGAGACACCCUUACUCGGGAGCUUUCCUUUUACGUGGAAAUAGCUCUCACAAAAGGGUCAUUUCUCCUCGGUUUUCACGGCUUCUCCCAGCUUCUUAAAAAUAACCAGCUUAAAGUAUAAUCAAUAUGCCAAAGAGGCAUAUUUGCAGGUGGCAAAAUUCGCUCGCCUACGUCAUUGAUGAAGUUAACAAAACUUUAUUUCCCAGUAGAUACUACGUACCGGGUGUUGGUGGAAGGCUUGCAAAGCAGGCGUGGUCUUUGCCUGGAAGUUUUAGGUCUGUGAAGUCACUGCUGAAACACUUUCUAAAGACAGUGACUUCAAGGGGCGCCUGGCUGGCUCAGUCGGUAGAGUACCCAACUCUUGAUCUUGGGGUUGUGAGUUCGAGCCCCACAUUGGGAGUAGCGGUUACUUAAAAAUAAAAUCUUGAGGGGAGGCUGGGUGGCUCAGUCGGUUAAGCAUCUGACUCUUGAUUUCGGCUCGAGAUUGAGCCCCGAGUCGGAUUCUGCACUGAGAAUACAGAGCCUGUUUGGGAUUCUCUCUCUCUCUCUCUCUCUC